CAUAAUUUGGCCAGCCCAAAAUAAUUACUACUGGUACUAAAUGUUCUCUUUCCUAUUCAUUGCUGUAUAUAUCCUAUCAAUUAGUGUAGAAAAGUUGCCAAUUGCAAAUAAAGCCACUGGCUAUUUCAAUCAAAUUAAAGAACCACUUAUUUUUGUACCAUCGUUUAGCUUCGAAGACAAAUUAAAUCAACAGGUUUCUUCUAAAAUUAUUACUAAUAAUAUUUCCUCUCUUAGCUUAUGAGAUGGGGGAUUCUCCAGCAAUAGUGCAAUCACAAGUACAAGGCGAAAGGAGUAUAAAGGGUAUGUGAUAAAUUUUGCAACUUCACUGUUAUCAACGUAUAAGAGGGUGACCAAGCUAAAGGAGAAGAAAUCACCUCUGAGAACAUUGGGACUGAAUUAAAAGCUCCAACUUUGGUACAAUACAAAUGGUGGAUCCAAAUAGUCACUUAUUCAAUAUUUGUUCUAUGUAGCCAAUCUAUAGGUACACUCUUAG